CCUACGGGAGGCUGCAGUGAGGAAUAUUUGUCAAUGGGCGAGAGCCUGAACCAGCCAAGUCGCGUGAAGGAUGAAAGAUCUAUGGUUUGUAAACUUCUUUUAUAUUUGAAUAAAGUGAUGAACGUGUUCCUUUUUGUAUGUACCAUAUAAAUAAGCAUCGGCUAACUCCGUGCCAGCAGCCUCGGUAAUACUGAGGAUGCGAGCGUUAUCCGGAUUUAUUGGGUUUAAAGGUGCGUAGGUGGGUAAUUAAGUCAGCGGUGAAAGUUUGUGGCUGAACCAUAAAAUUGCCGUUGAAACGGGUUGACUUGAGUAUAUUUGAGGUAGGCGGAAUGCGUGGGGUAGCGGUGAAAUGCAUAGAUAUCACGCAGAACUCCGAUUGCGAAGGCAGCUUACUAAACUAUAACUGACACUGAAGCACGAAAGCGUGGGGAUCAAACAGGAUUAGAUACCCCUGUAGUC
rnacentral:rRNA from 1 species